rnacentral:rRNA from 1 species
GAUGAACGCUAGCUACAGGCUUAACACAUGCAAGUCGAGGGGCAGCAUGUCGGUUGCUUGCAACCGAUGAUGGCGACCGGCGCACGGGUGAGUAACGCGUAUCCAACCUACCCUUGUCCAUCGGAUAACCCGUCGAAAGGCGGCCUAACACGAUAUGCGGUUCUCAGCAGGCAUCUAACGAGAACGAAAUGUGAAGGAGAAGGAUGGGGAUGCGUCUGAUUAGCUUGUUGGCGGGGUAACGGCCCACCAAGGCGACGAUCAGUAGGGGUUCUGAGAGGAAGGUCCCCCACAUUGGAACUGAGACACGGUCCAA